UACGUAGGGGGCAAGCGUUGUCCGGAAUCAUUGGGCGUAAAGAGCGCGCAGGCGGUCGUUCAAGUCGAGUGUGAAAGCCCCCGGCUCAACUGGGGAGGGUCACUCGAUACUGAUCGACUUGAAGGCAGGAGAGGGAAGCGGAAUUCCCGGUGUAGUGGUGAAAUGCGUAGAUAUCGGGAGGAACACCAGUGGCGAAGGCGGCUUCCUGGCCUGUUCUUGACGCUGAGGCGCGAAAGCUAGGGGAGCAAACGGG
rnacentral:rRNA from 1 species